rnacentral:rRNA from 1 species
UACGUAGGGUGCAAGCGUUAAUCGGAAUUACUGGGCGUAAAGCGUGCGCAGGCGGUGAUGUAAGACAGGUGUGAAAUCCCCGGGCUUAACCUGGGAACUGCAUUGGUGACUGGCAGGCUUUGAGUGUGGCAGAGGGAGGUAGAAUUCCACGUGUAGCAGUGAAAUGCGUAGAGAUGUGGAGGAAUACCGAUGGCGAAGGCAGCCUCCUGGGCCAACACUGACGCUCAUGCACGAAGCGUGGGAGCAACAGG